UGAAGAGGACUCUGGGAAAAAAAAGGUGAAAACUAUCAUGUGACCUCAAUGGACAGCUUUCUUCUACCUUGCAUUAGGGCUUAUGGUUCUGGUACAGUUGUUUAAAAAGUUACCACCCUUCAUUUAGCGGUUACUGCCCCUAGCUGAAAUGCUUGCUGAGCUUAUGAGGGUUUAUGCAAAUCCAUUGUACCUGACCUGACAGUGGCCUAGAAGCACAUUUAUAAUCUAUCCUUCCAUCUCAGAUGUGAAUCUAGGAACUAACAGCAAUAACUUCCUAAACCACUUGCUUCAGGGCUAGUUGUGCCCUGCAACAAAUUUUCUCAUCAGCAAAGAUCUGAAAAACAGAAUGUCCCCAGUGAAGGCUGCUUCUAAGCUCACUAUGCUUCUUGGGGGAAAAAAAACCUGCAACAGUAUAGAAAUGUAUGAUGCCUAUGACUUAUGCAUUAUACAAAACAGAUUGUAUUAAAUCCUUGUUUACAGAUGGCACACCAGAAUUAAUGAAAAUGUCUUAAAAGUAUUAAAAUAAAUAUAUUGACCUAGAGUUCUUUUUCUUGUGUAGUUAACCUUGCUGUCAGCAGAAGACUGUGAAGUAAGAUUACUUAGCUGUUAAAGAAGUAGACUGAAGACACUAAUGAGGGGGACUUUGCAAACCCACAGAUGGUGCUACUCCUAGCGCUUACUCGAAAGAGCUUAGUCCCCUACCCGGGGUAAUCCCGGGCUGCUGUGUAUCGCGGCAAACGUUAAUAUUGAGCUCCCAGCUGCCGGACCUUCUCAUCCGAGUCUGCAGCGCCACGGGAAGCGGGAAUAAUUCCUCUGCAUAUCGUCCUCCCCUUAUUACACUGCAAAUCUACCAAGGGCAAUGUAAGGACUUUACGUAUUUACUUCUCCCUUUGGGGACUGCAGAUUGCUGGCGGGGCGCUAACCAGAGCACAGGUGGAGAGAGCCGGUUGUUUAAAACUGAAUUAACCUCCUGCCUUGGGAGGGUCAGGCUGGUCGACGGCCCCCGGGUCGACGGCGCCACGCCGAGCACACGGCAGAGCCACCCCGUCGGUGCCCGCUGGCGGGCC
rnacentral:lncRNA from 1 species